AUUGAACGCUGGCGGCAGGCUUAACACAUGCAAGUCGAGCGGGGUGAUGGUGCUUGCACUAUCACUUAGCGGCGGACGGGUGAGUAAUGCUUAGGAAUCUGCCUAUUAGUGGGGGACAACAUCUCGAAAGGGAUGCUAAUACCGCAUACGUCCUACGGGAGAAAGCAGGGGAUCACUUGUGACCUUGCGCUAAUAGAUGAGCCUAAGUCGGAUUAGCUAGUUGGUGGGGUAAAGGCCUACCAAGGCGACGAUCUGUAGCGGGUCUGAGAGGAUGAUCCGCCACACUGGGACUGAGACACGGCCCAGACUCCUACGGGAGGCAGCAGUGGGGAAUGUUGGACAAUGGGGGGAACCCUGAUCCAGCCAUGCCGCGUGUGUGAAGAGGGCCUUAUGGUUGUAAAGCACUUUAAGCGAGGAGGAGGCUCUUUUGGUUAAUACCCAAGAUGAGUGGACGUUACUCGCAGAAUAAGCACCGGCUAACUCUGUGCCAGACGCCGCCGUAA
rnacentral:rRNA from 1 species